AUGUACAGCAACAGCACCCCCUGCGAUUGGAAAGUUUAUUCAGAAACGUGCUUGCAAAGUCCCCCGGCGUCUCCCGCCUCCCAGGCUCCCUGCCUGCCUACACCACCCAGCCGCUGCCGCCGCCGCCGCCUCAGGGGAGAUCGCGCUCCGAUUCCAAAUCAGGAAGGGCCGGGAGGGGAGAGGAAAUGGACUCGCGUCCUAGGGCGGCGCGAGGGUGCAGGGUGGACACCGGUGGCCCCGGCCCGCGAGACCCCGAGCUGCAGGUGGAGGCGUCCGCGAAGCCACUAAAUGAAUGUCACUGCGGAGGGAGGAGGGGAGGCUGGACUUCGAGGUGGCCCGCUGGAGGGAAGGGGAGGAGAGAAGAAGAACGAGCUCCUAGGAGGCCUUCGAAAAAUAAAUAAAAAAAUAAAAGCCCCCUUCAGGUAACAAUGGUGAGCCAGGUUCUUUCUGAACCUGGCUUUUCAAAUCUGAAUCUUGGUCCCAUCCAUCCAUAAAAGUCCAUACAAAGAGAAGAUAUAUAAAUGGGUGAAUUGUGUUGUGGAAAUAUAUACUGUAUGUGUGUGAUUUAUAUAUAAUGGUGUGUAUAAAGCUUUUCAGGGUUGGCGGUAGUGUAAAAAGUAAUGACUUUAUUACCUCUGAAAGGUUCUGUGGUUCACAUUUAACAGUCUUCUGAAUUACAAUUCAUUACACAAUUGUGUGCUCUCUAAAACCGGCACCCUAUCAGGGCCGCUAUCUGUGGUUAUUUCCAAUAAAUAACUGGCAACAUUUUAUUGAUUUUCUUUUUUAAAAAAUCAUAGGAAAUUAAGCACUUAGUUACAAGUAGGUCUGCUAUUCUGUUGCACUUGUCUCAGAUUCCAGGGGGGUCCCUUCCAAAACCACAUCUUAAAACGUAACAUUAAAAAGCCAGCAUCGCAGCUGCUUUCGCUGGGUGACAACGGAGAGGUAAGCAGGGACGUUUCUACCAUUAACAUCUAUUUAAUUUCACCACCAUAAAAUGCCCAGGGUGAAGUAACUGCCCUCCGCUCCCGCCCCUCCCCCGGCCAGGUUUCCCCCGGUCCGAGAAGCCAGGUCUGUGCGUCGGCAUCUGACCGCUCCUCCGGCCGACCCCCCUCGCGAGUCCCUCGCGCUCCGGUACCGGCGACGCCCCCUCCUCUUCGCCGCCUGAGGCUCACUCCAGAGCCCCAAAGUGGGGGAGGGGACGGGCUCGUACCUUGUGUUUAAAGAAGUAAAAAUGUGCUGCUUUAGGAGAUUUAAAAAUAUUACAUAAGUAUUGAUUGAUGAUGCAGGUGGUUUUGCAGAGGGGGGUGAAAGAUCACUUUGAACGCGCACACUUGGAUAUACAAUAAGUAUAUUUACCUUUCCAGGAGUGGCUUUUAGAAAGUAAUAAAUUAUGACAACGUUGAAAUUAUUUUCUGGCCGGUCAGUUAACUUCGUUUGGGGCUGGGGAACCUUCGCCGCUCUUUUGGAGAGGGUAAUUACGCUCGGAGGGCUCUUUCCCAACCCUCUGGUGACGACACUGCCCGUAAACUCUAGGCCAGCAGGCGACCCCUCCCCUCCUCCUCCCUCUCUCUAUCCCGCCCGAAGAGAAGACUCCCCAGUACCUCCUGCAGUAUAUAUUAUGCCUCUGAUCUCCGUACUUAAUAGCCAAGCC
rnacentral:lncRNA from 1 species